rnacentral:lncRNA from 1 species
AAUAAUACCAUUCGUUUACAGUUUCAAAUUACUACAUCCAUAAAAUAUAUACCAAAAUGUCUAUAUAUACAUCUCAAAUUCACUUUUCAAUCCACAAAAUAAACCACAAUAAACCAAACUAUUCAUAAAAUUUAGCUACUACCUAAGCAUGUGCAAAAAAGCCUAAGUUCUCCCAAAAUACGCCAGUAACUUUUGCUCUAGCACUAGCCAUGGAUGGCAGUAACUUUUGCUCUAUCACUAAUAGAUUCUUGAGAUAAGGUUAACCUACUUCUGUUGCUUCUGCUACACUGCUUCUGUUGCUGCGACACACUUCUUGCUGCUGUUUGUAGCGAAGUGCUGCUGCCAAACAUUUAUAAACUGUUGUGACAUUUAUAAACAUUUUGUUAUCACAGAUGCCGACAGAUGAUGCCUACCUAAAUAUCAAGCUUGACUACAAGCCUGCUAUUAAAUGGAUAAAUGUUGCAGUGAUAGUCCCAAUCUGUCAAGCUUAACAUGAUGGAUGGUUGAUAACUCUUGAUCCCAAUUUCUCAAUACAGUUGUUAUAGACAACUAUUGCAUUGAUUAGAAAAGAGGUACUCAAUAAAGACCACUCCACAUUGGCACUUAAAAGAUAUGCAUGAAACACCAAUAAAUUAGAAUGAAAACUGAGAGAGAUUCCUGCAACUUUGAGAUUCAGAAAAUUUGCUUCAACGCAUACAAACUGGAAAAACAGACCAAAGAGAUACAAAUAAAAAAUGUCCUAGGAGCAGCUGUGGAUGCUAUUACCAAUGUUCGUCAUUAAUACUUAUUCAAGUAG